GGCAUGAACAGAGUUCCCCUCUCCUGGAGCCCCAGGCAGCUGACUAUGGCAUGGCACCAAGAGGGGCCCCCACCACCUGAAGGUACAGAUGUUCAAAAAGCCUGAGGAGGAAUCGAUCUAACCUACACAGAUUUCUAUUCAGAGAGCUUCAAUGAUUUGGGGAAUCCCCACCUGCUGCAGCAGGCAGCUGGAGCUGGACUCAGAGCAGGUGAUGGCUGUUGCUGCUUUGGUUUAGAGCCACAGGAGUAAAUGAGGCUUUGAGUGAAUAACUAAACGUCACCCUGAAUAGAGCAGUUCUCAUGUACCUCAUCUGCAAAAAAUUCAAAAUAAUGGAAACACUACAUAAUAGCAAUAAGCAGGGUGACUGAGCCAGUGCAAGACUUCGGCACCAAAAAUCCAAGGGCAGCAAAGAAAUAAAACUAUGCCUGUCCCAUAAAGAGUAGGCAUGUAUACCCUGUUUGGCUGAAAGAAAAAAAGAAAAAAAAAUCACAAACGCUUCCAGAAACAUGAAUGAAGGAGUUCAAAAUCAGAUUGAGGCUGUUCAGUCCAUUGGAUGGGAAUAUGACUGGCUCCUACCAAGAAUGGUGGAUUUGCAUGAGAUACUGAUUUCUGAACAGCCUGAUGCAGUCACUUCUGGAAACUACUAGUUUUGCAUGUUCUGAAAGGAAGAGUUGGUUGUGUGGUGGGGUGGGAAAUCUCGCUGUCUUUCCAUAUUAAUAAAAGAAAACUAUUUCAA